ACAAAUUUACAUUUUAGAAAACAAAUUAACAAGACGCAAAACACUUUUACCAGUCCCGAAACAAAUUUACAAAUGACAGAUUCUUCACGGAAAGGGAAUGUUCCACAUACCGGAAGUGACACGGAAGUGAUGAGCGUGGUCUUUUCGUGUUGUUGUUGUGGAGUUUAUGGCGUCAAAUAAGUUUAUGGUGACCGCCCGAACAUGGACUGCGGCCGAGGGAUGUUUUGCCCGUUUUGUGGCAAACACAUGAACAGCUUAACGCGGUUUUGCUUUACGUGUGGUCGGUGUUUGGAGUUUUUAAAGGACGCAGACAAGACGGAAACAUUGGAAACACAGGGACGUCUCGACAGCCGGACAGUGCUAUGCAAAAACAACCAUGCCCAUCAUACAAACAGUUCAUGGAGUACAGAAGCUCGAAAUCAAAAGAACGACAGUCUUUUAACUAUGGGCCAAAAA